rnacentral:rRNA from 1 species
GGACGAACGCUGGCGGUGUGCUUAACACAUGCAAGUCGAACGGUAAGGCCCUUUCGGGGGUACACGAGUGGCGAACGGGUGAGUAACACGUGAGUAACCUGCCCUCAUCUCUGGGAUAACAGUCGGAAACGGUUGCUAAUACUGGAUAUGAGCUUGCAAGGCAUCUUGUGGGUUGGAAAGAUUUUUUUUGGUUGGGGAUGGACUCGCGGCCUAUCAGCUUGUUGGUGAGGUAGUGGCUCACCAAGGCUUCGACGGGUAGCCGGCCUGAGAGGGCGACCGGCCACAUUGGGACUGAGAUACGGCCCAAACUCCUACGGGAGGCAGCAGUGGGGAAUAUUGCACAAUGGACGGAAGUCUGAUGCAGCAACGCCGCGUGCGGGAUGACGGCCUUCGGGUUGUAAACCGCUUUCAAUUGUGACGAAGCUUUUUUGUGACGGUAGCAGUAGAAGAAGCACCGGCUAACUACGUG